rnacentral:rRNA from 1 species
UACGGGGGGGCAAGCGUUGUUCGGAAUUACUGGGCGUAAAGGGCUCGUAGGCGGCCAACUAAGUCAGACGUGAAAUCCCUCGGCUUAACCGGGGAACUGCGUCUGAUACUGGAUGGCUUGAAUUCGGGAGGGGAUGCAGAAUUCCAGGUGUAGCGGUGAAAUGCGUAGAUAUCUGGAGGAAUACCGGUGGCGAAGGCGGCAUCCUGGACCGACAUUGACGCUGAGGAGCGAAAGCGUGGGGAGCGAACGAGGA